rnacentral:rRNA from 1 species
UACGAAGGGGGCUAGCGUUGCUCGGAAUCACUGGGCGUAAAGGGUGCGUAGGCGGGUCCUUAAGUCAGGGGUGAAAUCCUGGAGCUCAACUCCAGAACUGCCUUUGAUACUGAAGAUCUUGAGUUCGGGAGAGGUGAGUGGAACUGCGAGUGUAGAGGUGAAAUUCGUAGAUAUUCGCAAGAACACCAGUGGCGAAGGCGGCUCACUGGCCCGAUACCGACGCUGAGGCACGAAAGCGUGGGGAGCAAACAGG